UGGAGUGAGAGUGACUUUCAAGCUCACUUAAAUAUGGGAGUUCUUAUAUGUCUGACAAACUCUUGAUGUCCUGAGUGCAAAAUAUCUAGUUACUUCAACAUUAAUUUCUGGGAUUAAUUUCUCAUACUGCCUACCAACUUCAGCAUUUGUCACUUAAGCUAUUUAAAAUGUUGACUUGGAAAAAAAUGCCUUUGGGAAAAUGACACCAAAUAGUAUUAAAUAAUAGCAAAAGGAGAGAGAUGACCAGGGAAAACUAUCCACAUAUUUG